AAACCCGGUCCGAAGCAGGGGGGACCACCCUCCAAGGCUGAACACUCUCCGAUGACCGAUAGCGAACCAGUACCGCGAGGGAAAGGUGAAAAGCACCCCGAGAGGGGAGUGAAACAGCGCCUGAAACCGUGCGCCCCCAAGCAGCGGGAGCCGUUCUGACGACGGUGACCGCGUGCCUUUUGUAGAAUGAGCCUGCGAGUCGCGGCAUGCGGCGAGGUUAAGGGACACCGAGCCGCAGCGAAAGCGAGCCUGAACAGGGCGAUUUGAGUCGCAUGCCGCGGACGCGAAGCCGGGUGAGCUAUCCAUGGGCAGGGUGAAGCGGGGGUAAGACCCCGUGGAGGCCCGAACCCACUUCGGUUGAAAACGGAGGGGAUGACCCGCGGAUAGGGGUGAAAGGCCUAUCAAACCCGGAGAUAUCUCGUUCUCCCCGAAACAGCUUUAGGGCUGGCCCCGGGCAUUGACCAUCGGAGGUAGAGCACUGGACCGGCGAGGGGGCCUCACCGCCUACCGACCCAGACCAAACUCCGAAUGCCGAUGGUUUUAACCCCGGGAGUCAGAGCGCGUGGGCUAAGCUGCGCGCUCGAGAGGGAAACAGCCCAGACCGCCCGCCAAGGCCCCAAAGGCCGUGCUAAGUGGCAAAGGAUGUGCGCCCGCCCAGACAACCAGGAUGUUGGCUUAGAAGCAGCCAUGCAUUCAAAGAGUGCGUAACAGCUCACUGGUCGAGUGGGGGCGCGCCGACAAUGCGCGGGGCUCAAGCACGGCGCCGAAGCGGCGGAAUCAUUUAUUUGAUUGGUAGGGGAGCUUUCCAUGCCGGGCGAAGCCGGAGGCGCGAGCCCCGGUGGACGGCAUGGAAGUGAGGAUGCAGGCAUGAGUAGCGAGAGAGCGGCGAGAAACCGCUCCGCCGAAAACCCAAGGUUUCCUGGGCGAGGCUAAUCCCCCCAGGGUCAGCCGGGAGCUAAGGCGAGGCCGCAAGGCGCAGCCGAUGCACGACGGGCAGACAUUCCCGUGCCGGCGCGGGCGCGCUACGACCGAUGGGACGACGGGGAAGGAUACGCGAGCGGGGUUCUGGACGUCCCCGUGAAAGCGCGUAGGGAGGGGCCCAGGGAAAUCCGGUCCCCACAUAUCCCGAGACGCGAGACGAGCCGCACGGCGAAGUCGCGGAUUCCAUGCCUCCUAGAAAAAUCCCUAGGCAGCGCCCACGCCGCCCGUACCAAAACCGACACAGGUGGGUAGGAAGAGCAUUCCGAGGCGAUCGGGGCAACCAUGGUCAAGGAACUCGGCAUAAUCGUCCCGUAACUUAGGGAGAAGGGACGCCCCCCAGCGUGUACCGGCUCGCCCGGGAAGCGCCGGGGGGCCGCAGCGAAAGGGCCCAAGCGACUGUUUACCAAAAACACAGGACUCUGCCAAGCCGCGAGGCGAAGUAUAGGGUCUGACGCCUGCCCGGUGCCGGAAGGUCACGGGGAUCCGUUAGCCUUUGGCGAAGCGGUGAACCCAAGCCCCGGUAAACGGCGGCCGUAACUAUAUCGGUCCUCAGGUAGCGAAAUUCCUUGUCGGGUAAGUUCCGACCUGCACGAACGGCGCAACGACUUGGGCGCUGUCUCGACCAUGGGCCCGGCGAAAUUGCAUUAUCCGUGAAGAUGCGGAUUCCCCGCGGAAGGACGGAAAGACCCCGUGAACCUUUACUGCAGCUUGGCAUUGGCCGCAGGCGCGGCGCGUAGAGGAUAGGCAGGAGGCUGCGAAGCCCGGGCGCCAG
rnacentral:rRNA from 1 species